UUGCAUAGUUUCGCUUUGCUGAUUAUUUUUGCAUAUUAUAAUUUACGUACGUAAUCCAGCAAAAAUGAUUUCCUGUGGAUAUUCUGCCGAAAUCUAGUAUGUGUUAUCCUGAUUGCGCUCUUCAUACUAUUGCUGAAUACAUAGACAAGCCGAGAAAGAAAUAAUCACCAACAAGAUCAUCUAAUUGCGAAGACGAAGAAAAUGGAGCCUGAAGAGGACAAAGAUAACCGUUCUUCAGAAGGGGAUUUAGCAUCAGAGGGUUCAUAGACCAGGUCCAGAAGAUGGGUCCGUGGAGUCCUCUAGGCCAUGUUAUGUCCUUUCCUGAUAACUUCAUGGUUGGUGGUCGUAAAUCGAUAAUCAAAUGUUCGGGAUGUCCGGAACACAAAGAUUUGACGUCUUGACAAACCAGCCAAUAAGAAGAUGGUUGAGCUGUUACGUGUUCACUCGAAGCAGCAAAAGAGCUCGGGAGUCGAGAUUGAGCUAAUCGAAGGCAGGGCAAGGUUGAUGCCAAGGUGUUUGGCUCUUUACAACUGUGGUACUGGAUUAAAAGUGAGCAAGAAAGAAUGAUCUUUGAGUUCUUUUGCGGUCUCGUCUUUGGUGCCAUAAUUCAUUACUUCGUAAAGUAUUUGCAAGAGAGAAACCCACGAGGGCGAGGGGUGACAAAAAGGGGUCCGGAAGAGAAUGAUGACGACUCUUAGUGGGAAGUUUAAAGGCGAAUGUUCCAGAUCCCGCCAGAAUCUUAGAGAGCAAGCAUAAAGCAAGGAAAUCAAUUUUAGCAACGGCUCAGUAGUAUUCAGAAUGUAACCGCUUUGAUAGAAUAAAGCCAGCGCUGUUAAAGUU